rnacentral:rRNA from 1 species
ACGCUAGCUACAGGCUUAACACAUGCAAGUCGAGGGGCAUCAGGAAGAAAGCUUGCUUUCUUUGCUGGCGACCGGCGCACGGGUGAGUAACACGUAUCCAACCUGCCCUUUACUCGGGGAUAGCCUUUCGAAAGAAAGAUUAAUACCCGAUGGCAUAAUGAUUCCGCAUGGUUUCAUUAUUAAAGGAUUCCGGUAAAGGAUGGGGAUGCGUUCCAUUAGGUUGUUGGUGAGGUAACGGCUCACCAAGCCUUCGAUGGAUAGGGGUUCUGAGAGGAAGGUCCCCCACAUUGGAACUGAGACACGGUCCAAACUCCUACGGGAGGCAGCAGUGAGGAAUAUUGGUCAAUGGGCGCUAGCCUGAACCAGCCAAGUAGCGUGAAGGAUGAAGGCUCUAUGGGUCGUAAACUUCUUUUAUAUAAGAAUAAAGUGCAGUAUGUAUACUGUUUUGUAUGUAUUAUAUGAAUAAGGAUCGGCUAACUCCGUGCCAGCAGCCGCGGUAAUACGGAGGAUCCGAGCGUUAUCCGGAUUUAUUGGGUUUAAAGGGAGCGUAGGUGGACUGGUAAGUCAGUUGUGAAAGUUUGCGGCUCAACCGUAAAAUUGCAGUUGAUACUGUCAGUCUUGAGUACAGUAGAGGUGGGCGGAAUUCGUGGUGUAGCGGUGAAAUGCUUAGAUAUCACGAAGAACUCCGAUUGCGAAGGCAUCUCACUGGACUGCAACUGACACUGAUGCUCGAAAGUGUGGGUAUCAAACAGGAUUAGAUACCCUGGUAGUCCACACAGUAAACGAUGAAUACUCGCUGUUUGCGAUAUACAGUAAGCGGCCAAGCGAAAGCAUAAAGUAUUCCACCUGGGGAGUACGCCGGCAACGGUGAAACUCAAAAGGAAUUGACGGGGGCCCGCACAAGCGGAGGAACAUGUGGUUUAAUUCGAUGAUACGCGAGGAACCUUACCCGGGCUUAAAUUGCAGUGGAAUGAUGUGGAAACAUGUCAGUGAGCAAUCACCGCUGUGAAGGUGCUGCAUGGUUGUCGUCAGCUCGUGCCGUGAGGUGUCGGCUUAAGUGCCAUAACGAGCGCAACCCUUAUCUUUAGUUACUAACAGGUUAUGCUGAGGACUCUAGAGAGACUGCCGUCGUAAGAUGUGAGGAAGGUGGGGAUGACGUCAAAUCAGCACGGCCCUUACGUCCGGGGCUACACACGUGUUACAAUGGGGGGUACAGAAGGCAGCUAGCGGGUGGCCGUAUGCUAAUCCCAAAAGCCUCUCUCAGUUCGGAUCGAAGUAUGCAACCCGACUUCGUGAAGCUGGAUUCGCUAGUAAUCGCGCAUCAGCCACGGCGCGGUGAAUACGUUCCCGGGCCUUGUACACACCGCCCGUCAAGCCAUGGGAGCCGGGGGUGCCUGAAGUACGUAACCGCAAGGAUCGUCCUAGGGUAAAACUGGUGACUGGGGC